ensembl:lncRNA
GGCAGGUCACCACUACCCUCCUUUCCCUGUUCUGGCAUAGGAUGAAGCCCUUUUUCUUCCCCCUCUCCUUCUGCAAAGAGCUGGGGGAAACUGCCCUGCGCUGUGGGCUGCAAGCAGCUGCCCUCCUUGCCUUCACCUGCUGUGACGUGACCUGCGGACAGCACAGGAUGGGAACUGGAGUCCAGCUGUUGGAUCUGACCACGCUGGUACCUUUGUUAUGGGCAGGUUCCAGCCACGGCUGAGCCGCAAACUACAUAUUCCCAUUUCCAGAGGGAAACAAGCCAAGCCCUACAGAUAAACCUGAAGCACUGGUGUAUGUUGCUCUUUGCCCUCAGCCAAUCUCGCCGUGCCAGCUCCAGCUUCAUCCCAGCCCAGUCACAGCAAGCAUUCUUCCUUAGGACACGGCCAAAUCUCCAACCCAGUUUCAACCACAAACUGCAGCAUAUCCAUAUGGAGUGAGAGAAGCGAUUCUUUCCACGUGGAGAUGUAGAAAUAAGUGAUUUUAUUUUGCCUUCGUUGUUACCUAGCUUGGAUCCAAGCCCAGUUCUUCUUCUGGUGGUGACGUGUGUUUGUGUAUUGCCAGUGGUCUGCAGUUGGCCAGAGGUUGUGUUCGUUGGUGUUUCUUCAUCCUUCAUGUAAUUUUUAGCAGCAUCUUCUUUCUGAAAACAGAGCCAUUAGGAUGUUCAGUGUUGCAAUAAAAUGGACGUGUGAUGGGCAACAAUAUUCCAGCAUGUCUGAUGAAGACAUCCUGGAGAAGACCUGAUACUUCCCGAAUAACAAGGCUGGAGUCCAAGGAGCACUGUCUUAGCUCUCCUCCUUCUGAUCAAGCAGCUCCUGCUUGUAUGAGGCUCAGCACUGACCCCCUACCUUGGGGGGGAGUCAUUAGUAAGGAUCAGUUCUUGCUAUUUAAUAUCAGCUUAAUAGGCCUCAUACAAGACGUGGGAAGAGCUCUCCUUUGGCACAAAGCUUUGUAAGCAGGCAGUGAGGAAUGCAUGUAAGUAGGCCCUAUUGAACCACGUGCCUAUAUUUAUGAGAGAGAGUGGACUUCAGACACUGAAUGUGGAAGGGCAGCAGAAGUUGGGUGCACCAAAUUUGUCCCUCCUGGAAUCCCAAGGGAAGGCAUCUGGCACUUUGCUCUUGGCAUCCUUUGGUGGGAAGUGCUUCUAUGACAAGGAUGCCUUGGAGACAUCUGGGUCCCUUAGAGAAGAUCCCAAAAGGUUGGGAGAUGCCACUUGGGUUCUCUAACCACGAACAGAAAGCAAAAUAAUGCAGGCUUUUCCAGCAACUUCUCUGUUUUUUGAAAUGCUCCUUUAUGUUUUCCAAGCUUUCCCCUGUGUUGUAACCGCUUGGUUUGUGGAAUCGAGAUCUCCAGCUCAGUGGAAUAAACAAGGAUGGGAGAUUUCAGUUUUUAAAAGGGAGGAAGGCUGUUUAAGAGUGGCACUGCCUCACUGUGGG